CCUUGGAAACGGGUGGUAAUGCUGGAUGCUCCAACUUGACGCAUGUCUUGUUGGGAAAGUGUUUAGUGGCAUGGGAUGGGGUCGCGUCCUAUCAGCUUGUAGGCGGGGUAAUGGCCCACCUAGGCUUCGACGGGUAGCCGGCCUGAGAGGGCGGACGGCCACAUUGGGACUGAGAUACGGCCCAGACUCCUACGGGAGGCAGCAGC
rnacentral:rRNA from 1 species